GACGAACGCUGGCGGCGUGCUUAACACAUGCAAGUCGAACGGAAAGGCCCUGCUUUUGUGGGGUGCUCGAGUGGCGAACGGGUAAGUAACACGUGAGUAACCUGCCCUUGACUUUGGGAUAACUUCAGGAAACUGGGGCUAAUACCGGAUAGGAGCUCCUGCUGCAUGGUGGGGGGUGGAAAGUUUCGGCGGUUGGGGAUGGACUCGCGGCUUAUCAGCUUGUUGGUGGGGGAGUGGCUUACCAAGGCUGUGACGGGUAGCCGGCCUGAGAGGGUGGCCGGCCACAUUGGGACUGAGGGACGGCCCAGACUCCUACGGGAGGCAGCAGGGGGGAAUCUUGCCCAAUCGGAGGAAGCCUGAUGCAGCGACGCCGCGGGCGGGAUGACGGCCUGCGGGGUGUAAACCGCAUCCGCCUGUGACGAAGCGUGAGUGACGGUAAUGGGUAAAGAAGCACCGGCUAACUACGUG
rnacentral:rRNA from 1 species